UCCGCAGGCGGGCAAUUAAGUCAGGGGUGAAAUGGUGCGGCUCAACCGUAGCACUGCCCUUGAUACUGGUUGUCUUGAGUCAUAGUGAAGUGGCCGGAAUAUGCAGUGUAGCGGUGAAAUGCAUAGAUAUUACAUAGAACACCGAUUGCGAAGGCAGGUCACUAACUAUCGACUGACGCUGAUGGACGAAAGCGUGGGGAGCGAACAGGAUUAGAUACCCUGGUAGUCC
rnacentral:rRNA from 1 species